rnacentral:rRNA from 1 species
UACGGAGGGUGCAAGCGUUAUCCGGAUUCACUGGGUUUAAAGGGUGCGUAGGUGGGCUGGUAAGUCAGUGGUGAAAUCUCCAGGCUUAACUUGGAAACUGCCAUUGAUACUAUCAGUCUUGAAUACCGUGGAGGUCAGCGGAAUAUGUCAUGUAGCGGUGAAAUGCUUAGAUAUGACAUAGAACACCAAUUGCGAAGGCAGCUGGCUACACGACUAUUGACACUGAUGCACGAAAGCGUGGGGAUCAAACAGG